UGGGGAAUAUUGCGCAAUGGGGGAAACCCUGACGCAGCAAUGCCGCGUGAAGGAUGAAGGUUUUCGGAUUGUAAACUUCUUUUGUGCAGGACGAUAAUGACGGUACUGCAAGAAUAAGCCACGGCUAACUACGUGCCAGCAGCCGCGGUAAUACGUAGGUGGCAAGCGUUGUCCGGAUUUACUGGGUGUAAAGGGCGUGUAGGCGGGACUGCAAGUCAGAUGUGAAAUCUAUGGGCUCAACCCAUAGCAUGCAUUUGAAACUGCAGUUCUUGAGUGAUGGAGAGGCAGAUGGAAUUCCCGGUGUAGCGGUGGAAUGCGUAGAUAUCGGGAGGAACACCAGUGGCGAAGGCGAUCUGCUGGACAUUAACUGACGCUGAGGCGCGAAAGUGUGGGGAGCAAACA
rnacentral:rRNA from 1 species